rnacentral:rRNA from 1 species
UACAGAGGGUGCGAGCGUUAAUCGGAAUUACUGGGCGUAAAGCGUGCGUAGGUGGUCUUUUAAGUCCGUUGUGAAAGCCCUGGGCUCAACCUGGGAAUGGCAGUGGAUACUGGAAGGCUGGAGUACGGUAGAGGAGGGUGGAAUUCCCGGUGUAGCGGUGAAAUGCGUAGAGAUCGGGUGGAACACCAGUGGCGAAGGCGGCCUUCGAGCCUGUGCCUGACACUGAAGCGCGAGAGCGUGGGGAGCAAACGGG